GUAGGUGGCAAGCGUUGUCCGGAAUUAUUGGGCGUAAAGCGCGCGCAGGCGGUUCUUUAAGUCUGAUGUGAAAGCCCACGGCUCAACCGUGGAGGGUCAUUGGAAACUGGAGAACUUGAGUACAGAAGAGGAAAGCGGAAUUCCACGUGUAGCGGUGAAAUGCGUAGAGAUGUGGAGGAACACCAGUGGCGAAGGCGGCUUUCUGGUCUGUAACUGACGCUGAGGCGCGAAAGCGUGGGGAGCAAACAGGAUUAGAUACCCUGGUAGUCACGCCGUAAACGAUGAGUGCUAAGUGUUAGGGGGUUUCCGCCCCCCUUAGUGCUGCAGCUAACGCAUUAAGCACUCCGCCUGGGAGUACGGCCGCAAGGCUG
rnacentral:rRNA from 1 species